CCUACGGGGGGCUGCAGUGGGGAAUAUUGCACAAUGGGCGCAAGCCUGAUGCAGCGACACCGCGUGAGCGAUGAAGGCCUUCGGGUCGUAAAGCUCUGUCCUAAGGGAAGAAUAAUGACGGUACCUUAGGAGGAAGCCCCGGCUAACUACGUGCCGGCAGCCGCGGUAAUACGUGGGGGGCGAGCGUUAUCCGAAAUCACUGGGCGUAAAGGGUGCGUAGGCGGCCCUGCAAGUGAGGUGUUAAAUCCCUCGGCUCAACCGAGGUCAGCUCCUGAAACCGUGGGUCUUGCGUGCUGGAGAGGAGAGCGGAAUUCCUAGUGUAGCGGUGAAAUGCGUAGAUCUUAGGAUGGACACCAGUGGCGAAGGCGGCUCUCUGGACUGCAACUGACGCUGAGGCACGCAAGCGUGGGGAGCGAACAGGAUUAGAUACCCGUGUAGUC
rnacentral:rRNA from 1 species